CCUACGGGAGGCAGCAGUGAGGAAUAUUGGUCAAUGGGCGUAAGCCUGAACCAGCCAAGUCGCGUGAGGGAUGAAGGUUCUAUGGAUCGUAAACCUCUUUUAUCAGGGAAUAAAGUGUGGGACGAGUCCUAUUUUGUAUGUACCUUAUGAAUAAGGAUCGGCUAACUCCGUGCCAGCAGCCGCGGUAAUACGGAGGAUCAGAGCGUUAUCCGGAUUUAUUGGGUUUAAAGGGUGCGUAGGCGGCCUUUUAAGUCAGCGGUGAAAGUCUGUGGCUCAAACAUCGAAUUGCCGGUGCAACUGGGGGGCUUGAGGAUGUUGGAGGCAGGCGGAAUGCGUGGUGUAGCGGUGAAAUGCUUAGAUAUCACGCAGAACCCCGAUUGCGAAGGCAGCCUGCCAGGCCAUGACUGACGCUGAUGCACGAAAGCGUGGGGAUCAAACAGGAUUAGAUACCCCUGUAGUC
rnacentral:rRNA from 1 species